UUUGAAAUCAAAGCAAUAGCCAUUGAAACCUGUAAAAAAGAAAGAAUGAAAGAAAGAAAAUGAUACUUCUGAUGUAACAAAAUUUGAAAUAUGCCAUAUAACAUAUCAAUAGAACUUGUGGGAAAAUCCAAAGUUUAUGUAACCAUAUAGUAGCCAUAAAAGGAUACUGCUACAAACAAAAAGCAGUAGAUUGCAUAACAUGUGGUCACAACUUAUAUGGAAUUAACCACAUUUCAUUUUGUUGCAUGAGAUAUGUGCUUCAAACAGUAAACAUGAAUUUAGGAACACAACCAAUACUCAGCUACCAAAGUCUAACCUAUGUAUGCUUUCUUUCCAUAAAGAGGAAGAUGAAGAUGGGACCAGUUUAGACCUAGAAAUACGUCAAGAUAUAUAAAAAUACAAACAAAAUAAAUUCAUAGAAAUAUAUGCCAAAGGUUGGAACAACAAUGUUUAACAAAAUAAUAUCAAAAGAAACUAUAGGCAUUUUAUCGAACACCUUAAAGGCAUGGGUAACACAAUAGGAAGAUAUGCAUUUAUGUUAGCAUCAGUUGAAAAACAGUACAAAGAGGCGCAAUUGAAGAAUAAUUUGUUAGCAUCAAAACAUGAACCUUGAACACAGCAAAAGCGAGAUACCUUAAACUUUGACGAUACCAAUUUCUCAUGGCAGCAUGACGGUCUACAACGCUAAUGAUUUUGUGACAAUUGGGCUACCAAUUUUGGAAAACUGAAAAGUAAUCUGAUGUAUAUUUACUUAAUAUAAAUGCCAACCAAAUAAAGACGCCUUCAGCAUCAGAGAACAUUCUCCGAGAGGCAAAG
rnacentral:lncRNA from 1 species